rnacentral:rRNA from 1 species
GAACGCUAGCGACAGGCUUAACACAUGCAAGUCGAGGGCAGCACAAGGAGCAAUCUGAGGUGGCGACCGGCGUACGGGUGAGUAACACGUAUGCAACCUGCCUGUAAGCGGGGAAUAACCCGUUGAAAGACGGACUAAUACCGCAUAAUACUAAAUUACUGCAUGGUAAUUUAUUUAAACAUUUAUGGCUUACAGAUGGGCAUGCGCAUGAUUAGCUAGUUGGAGAGGUAACGGCUCCCCAAGGCAACGAUCAUUAGGGGUUCUGAGAGGAAGGUCCCCCACACUGGUACUGAGACACGGACCAGACUCCUACGGGAGGCAGCAGUGAGGAAUAUUGGUCAAUGGACGAGAGUCUGAACCAGCCAAGUCGCGUGCAGGAAGAAUGUCCUAUGGAUUGUAAACUGCUUUUGCAGGGGAAUAAAGUGCAUCACGUGUGAUGUUUUGUAUGUACUCUGCGAAUAAGGAUCGGCUAACUCCGUGCCAGCAGCAGC